rnacentral:rRNA from 1 species
CCUACGGGUGGCAGCAGUGAGGAAUAUUGGUCAAUGGGCGAGAGCCUGAACCAGCCAAGUCGCGUGAGGGAAGACGGUCCUAUGGAUUGUAAACCUCUUUUGCCGGGGAGCAAAAAGCGGUACGCGUACCGCAUCGAGAGUACCCGGAGAAAAAGCAUCGGCUAACUCCGUGCCAGCAUCCGCGGUAAUACGGAGGAUGCGAGCGUUAUCCGGAUUUAUUGGGUGAAAAGGGUGCGCAGGCGGCGAGUUAAGUCAUCGGUAAAAUUUCGGGGUUAAACCCCGAAAAGCGGUUGAAACUGGCUGGCUAGAGUGUGCGAGAGGUAUGCGGAAUGUGUGGUGUAGCGGUGAAAUGCAUAGAUAUCACGCAGAACUCCGAUUGCGAAGGCAGCAUACCGGCGCCCAACUGACGCUCAGGCACGAAAGCGUGGGUAUCGAACAGGAUUAGAUACCCCAGUAGUC